AUGAACGCUGGCGGCGUGCUUAACACAUGCAAGUCGAACGAUGAAGCCCAGCUUGCUGGGUGGAUUAGUGGCGAACGGGUGAGUAACACGUGAGUAACCUGCCCUUAACUCUGGGAUAAGCCUGGGAAACUGGGUCUAAUACCGGAUAGGAGCGUCCACCGCAUGGUGGGUGUUGGAAAGAUUUAUCGGUUUUGGAUGGACUCGCGGCCUAUCAGCUUGUUGGUGAGGUAAUGGCUCACCAAGGCGACGACGGGUAGCCGGCCUGAGAGGGUGACCGGCCACACUGGGACUGAGACACGGCCCAGACUCCUACGGGAGGCAGCAGUGGGGAAUAUUGCACAAUGGGCGAAAGCCUGAUGCAGCGACGCCGCGUGAGGGAUGACGGCCUUCGGGUUGUAAACCUCUUUCAGUAGGGAAGAAGCGAAAGUGACGGUACCCGCAGAAGAAGCACCGGCUAACUACGUG
rnacentral:rRNA from 1 species